ensembl:lncRNA
AUGCCCCGCUCCUCGGGUCCAGGGCAGGAUCUAAGGGAAGAGGGAGUGAUCCCCCACCACCACCACCCCUCAGGCUCUUUCUCCGCCGGGUGCAAGAGAAAACCGAGGGUGUCUUCUCUUUCUUCUGCAGAGCAGGGACCACCAAAGCCUUCCUUAACCUCCCGCAUUCCAUUAGGAGAGGAGGAGGGAAGGAAGGAAGGAAGGGAUGGAUGCAUUCUCACGUUCACGCCCCACACUUGCGGGCAUUUCACCACGCAGUGUGUUCUUAGGGUUUUUUUUAUAAUAGGAAGGAACCCAGAGGAUGCUGCUCAUGCUCCCCAGUGCUUCCUCUUCAUCUUGGAAAGAAGUGAGGAGUGGAGUGCCAUCAGCAGGGUUCCGGGUUCAGUGGAUCUCAGCCUGGGGUCCCCAUAUGUUUUUGGCCUUCAACUCCCAGAAAUCCUAACAGCAGGUAAACUGGCUGGGAUUUCUUGGAGUUGUGGGCCAAAAACAUCUGGAGAUCCCAGGUUGAGAACCACUGACUUUGAUGAAGGGUUAGGAGGCAAGACCAUCAAGUUUGCAAACGGGACCAAAGUAGGAGGGAUAGCCAUUAGCCAAUACUCCAGACAGGCGCAGAAUUCAAAACGAUUUUAACAGAUUGGAGUUGACUAUGUUGGCUGUUAUAUUGGAUCACACGUUGGACCCAUCCCAAGUGUCUGGGACUCUGUGAUUUAUUGGUGAAUAAUGUGUGCAGAUCCAAGUAGGGUGGCCUUUUGCAGCUGACAGAUGGUAAUUUUGUCAGCACCAAUUGUUUUAAAGUGCUGGCCAAAGUAUUUAGGCAUUGCACCCAAUGUGCCGAUCACCACUGGAACCACAUUUACUGGCUUGUGCCAGAGUCUUUGCAGUUUGAUCUUUAAAUCCUUGUAUCACAUAAGCUUUUCCAGUUGCUUUCCGUCGAUUCUGCUAUCACCUAGGAUUGCAACAUUGAUAAUCCACACUUUGUUUUUUAACACAAUCGUGAGGUCGGGAGUAUUAUGCUCCAAAACUCUUGUCAGCCAGAAUUUGAAGUCGCAGAGUAGUUUGACGUGUUUAUUUUCUGUAAUCUUUUCAGGCUUGUGAUCCCACCAGUUCUUUGUCACAGGCAGAUGGUAUUUGUGGCACAAGUUCCAAUGGAUCAUCUGAGCAAUGGUAUUAUGCCUCUGCUUGUAGUCUGUCUGCGCAAUCUUCUUGCAGCAGCUGAGGAUGUGAUCCAUCAUUUUGCCUGCUUCUUUGCGGAUUCUACAUUUGGAAUUUGUAGUCGACUUUUCAAUUCUGGCUUUGAUGGCAUUUGUUCUAAUUGCUUGUUCUCAGGCUGCAAGAAUCAGGUUCUCAGUUUCCUUUUUCAAAGUUAUUAAAGUGGAUGCUGUUUGGUUGUAUCUUUGGUACCUGGCAUUUUUUAUUAGGGCUGAUGGGAACUGUAGUCCAACAUCUGGAGGGCCAAAAGUUUCACACUUCUGUUCUACUUAGAGUUGUCAAGAAUUGAACCUGGAAUCUUCUAUGGGCAAAGCAUGUACAGUACGAUACCCGAAUCUGCAGAAUCAAUAUAGGUGAUUUCACUUACACAGUUUGACUGAUUCACUUAGGGCUCCCUAUACAAACUACACUCUCUUGUCAUUUGUCCCAUUGAAAAGAAUAGAAUUAGCUCUUAUCCACAAUUUCACAUAUCCAUGUGAUGUUUCAGAUCAUAUGGCCCACGGAUAUGGGAUCGUACUACUGCAAAAAUAUGACCCAUUCCCAAAGGCAUACUACUGAUAGGAACAAUGUCUCAGGCAGAAGUCUUUUUUAAAACUACUAUGUGAUCCAUUUAACUGAAGAUGCCGAAAUUGAAUGCAAAAUGUGUGCUCUUAAAACUGAACUAUGUCUCAAUUUGAGGAUGAAUUAUCAUCUGUAUACAUAGAGAAGAGCACACUUAUUUAACUUGUCAUUUAUUUUUAGAGUUACAAGAAUAAAUGACAAGCUAAAUCUGCUUAAGUAAUACACCAUCUCUCAGGCUAACUUCAGAAGCUGGUAUGGUGAAGUAUGUGCCCAUAGCCUUAGAAAGCCCUCUAUGCUCGACAUUGGCACCAAUUACUAUUAUUAUUUUAUUAUCCACCCUGAGUCCCCCUGGGGAGAUAGGGGAGGAUACAAAUAAAGUCAUAUUAUUAUUAGAGGCUCCGGAUCCUAGCACUGAAUGGAGAGGUGCUUGGAUAGAAGUGUGGGUGUUAUCACUAGUAGGAGACAGAGGCAUUUGAGGGAUGUGGAGCUAUGGUCUUCUGGCACAGUUGUCCUCCUUUUCAGAGGUAGAGUGUGAGUGAGUGUUCUUCUGCCUCCUCAAAGCACCCCCUGACACCUUACUAAACAAACAUAUCAGACAUGGAGAUGCUGGGAAGACCCAGCACAAUUAUUUAUAGUCGCUGCCCCCCCCCCCCCAAUCCAGAGAUUCAAUCAUCCUCAGCUUGAAAAUAUUCCUAUUUCCCCCAAAAAGCAAAUUUUGCAUUUGCCAUUUUAUAUAAGGGAUACCAUUUUGCUGCACUGCUGUAUAUAAUGGGACAUGAGCAUCCAGGGAUUUUGGCAUCCACAGGGGUCCUGGACCAAACCCAUAGCAGGUUCUCAGGCUCAUUGUGUUCAUUUUAAAGGUUCCAUGUGUCCAUGGAGAGGGAGACAGAAAAUCAGGAAACAUGUAUGCAAAAGAGAUUGAAAAAAAGAGUGAAUUGUUUUUGUUUAGUCUGUACCCCCAAUGCAUACUUAUUGUCCUUCUCCUUUGUUUCAACAACCUCAAAUCUAUAUAAAUAUUUCCUGCCUGAAAUUUAUUAUGUAUUUAUUUCCAUCAUUUCUAUCCCUCCCUUCUCACCCGAAGGGACUCAGGGCGGCUUACAAAACUGGCAGAAUUCGAUGCCAAUAUACAACAAAACAAAAGAAUAAAACAUAUGCAAUUAAAAACAGAUUUAAAAUAAUGCAAAAUACUUGAGCCAUUCAUCCACAAAACCUUGCACAUUUAUUUAUUUAUUUAUUUACAGCAUUUAUAUUCCGCCCUUCUCACCCCGAAGGGGACUCAGGGCGGAUCACAUUACACAUAUAGGCAAACAUUCAAUGCCUUUUAACAUAGAACAAAGACAAACAAACAUAGGCUCCGAGGGGCCUCGAACUCAUGACCUCCUGGUCAGAGUGAUUCAUUGCAGUUAAUUGCAGCUAGCUUGCUCUCCCUCCUGCACCACAGCCCGGCCCUAAACCUUACUCCAGACCGAGUCGAAGCCAACGAAACUUAUUCUUUGAAUGCUUGCUCGCAUAGCCAGGUCUUCACUUUCUUUCUAAAACUCAAAAGGGAUGGAGCCUGCCGGAUGUCAUUAGGGAGGGAGUUCCAUAGCCGAGGAGCCACCACUGAGAAAGCCCUGCCUCUCAUCCCCGCCAGCCAAUGCAUUGGGUUACCUUAUAGAAUAAAACCAUAAAUAAGGACACCCCUAGUUUCAGUCUCUAUUUCACAUCAGCAUCAACUCCUUCCAUUGAGGAAGGCAGAUGCUUCAGCAAAAUGUUGGAAGAGAAAGCUAUGUCCCAUGUGGUAUGCUCUUCAGGUGCUGAAGAAAAUGUUAAUAACAAAGAAAAAUGUACUUCUCCCCCACUUGGCUGGGCUCUGCCAUCUUAUCCUUCAUUUUAAACAGUAAAAUGACUUGGUUCAGUCCUGGCUGAGAACAUUACAGGAGCAUGUCAUGACAGGUGGCUUUUGUGUCAGCAGACCCCCCUCUAGGUUUUGGUCUAAAUCACUAUCCAAGGUGCCAAACCUCUUUGGGAUCUGGAGUAAUAUUUGACCUAAAACUUGGAGCAUGACAGAUCAGACAGCCAUAAGUUGCCAUCCAAAUGUAAUGCAAACCCACGUUUUGGACUGAUAUUGCACUACAUCGAUGCCACCCCAGCCAAUUAAUGUAGUAGCAGUAGAAUAGACUCAGAAUAGACCCAAUUGUUUCGUUACUAUGACAAUGUCUUGCCAAGAAAAGCAUCAACACUAGUUUGGAUGAUUUGGCUAUUGCAUGUUGGGUAAAACUUAAAUAAAACCACACUAGAAGCAUUGUCAUUAGAAGGAGAGCUGAGCUUAGCUGUCAUUUCCCAUGAUGGUGGACAUGUCAGAUGGUGUUUGCAACGCUGCUGCAACAAGUUUAAGCAGCAGUUGUUCGUCUGAUGUAUUUAAUCUUACAUUAAUGCAACAUUGCAAGGAAACUAUGUAGAUAAUGUAAAUUGGAGCCCAGAGCGGAGUAUGUAUUCUGAGAAAUUUCUGUAUGUAUCUGUACAUGCUCACUAGAGGGAAGGAUAUCAGUGGCAAAGAGGAAGUACUCUGGACACAUAAUGAGAAGACAGGAAAGCUUUGAGAAGAUAAUGAUGCUGGGGAAAAUGGAAGGAAAAAAGAAGAGGGACCAACCAAGGGCAAGGUGGAGGGAUGGUAUCCUUGAAGUGACUGGCUUGACCUUGAAGAAGCUGGGGGUGGUGAUGACCGACAGGGAGCUCUGGGGCAGGCUGGUUCAUGGGGUCACAAAGAGUCAGAAGCAAAUGAACGAAUAAACAACCACACUUUUGCACAUGUUAUCAUGUAGGCAUAUAUUUAUGUGUUUUUGUGUGUGUUAUGCAACAACACAUUGGGGGGAUGGAUGUAAAGUGUUGUUGUGUGCCCUCAAGUCAUUUCCAACUUCUGGUGAUCCUAAAGUGACCCGAUGACAGGGUUUUCUUGGCAAAAUUUCUUUGCCAUUGACUUCACCAUACUGGCUCACAAAGCACACACCAUCUGCUAUACUGAAAUGUAAGACACACCUGUUUCGGCAGGCUUUUGAUUUCUGUUAAUGAUGUUUUUAAAAUAUGUUUUUAAGAUGUUUUAAAGAUGUUUUUAAAUUGUUAGAUUUUAGCCUGUUCUUGUAAGCUGCCCCAAGCCCUAGGGGAGUGGCGGCAUAUAAGUUUGAAUAAUAAAUAUAAAUAAAUAUAAGGUAAAGGUAAAGGUUUCCCCUGACGUUAAAUCCAGUCAUGUCUGACUCUGGGGGUUGGUGCUCAUCUCCAUUUCUAAGCCGAAGAGCUGGCGUUGUCCGUAGACACCUCCAAGGUCAUGUGGCCGGCAUGACUGCAUGGAGCACCGUUACCUUCCCGCCAGAGUGGUACCUGUUGAUCUAUUCACAUUGGCAUGUUUUCAAACUGCUAGGUUGGCAGAAGCUGGAGCUAACAGCGGCCAUUCCUGCCACUCCCGGGGUUUGAACCUGUGACCUUUCGGUCUGCAAGUUCAGCAGCUCAGCGCUUUAACACACUGAGCCACUGGGGCUCCGUAAAUAAAUAUAUGGCAUUGAAUAAUUAUUGAAAGUUGUAUUGGGUUUCUUUUGAACAGACCUAGAGAUGCAUUGCAGGCGACACCAGAUGUGACAUUAAUUUCAUGACUGCUCCUUUAUUCCCACCACAUCCUCUAGUAUAGAAGGAAAAGUGUGGUAAUGACUUCAACAAAGCCUUAUGGGGCUACC